AGAACGAACGCUGGCGGCAUGCCUAAUACAUGCAAGUCGAACGAACUCUUCGGAGUUAGUGGCGCACGGGUGCGUAACGCGUGGGAAUCUGCCCCUUGGUUCGGAAUAACAGUUGGAAACGACUGCUAAUACCGGAUGAUGACGAAAGUCCAAAGAUUUAUCGCCAAGGGAUGAGCCCGCGUAGGAUUAGCUAGUUGGUGAGGUAAAGGCUCACCAAGGCAACGAUCCUUAGCUGGUCUGAGAGGAUGAUCAGCCACACUGGGACUGAGACACGGCCCAGACUCCUACGGGAGGCAGCAGUGGGGAAUAUUGGACAAUGGGCGAAAGGCCUGAUCCAGCAAUGCCGCGUGAGUGAUGAAGGCCUUAGGGUUGUAAAGCUCUUUACCCGGGAUGAUAAUGACAGUACCGGAGAAUAAGCUCCGGCUAACGUCCGUGCCAGCAGCCGC
rnacentral:rRNA from 1 species